UCGAUUGGUUUUAUCUCAGAGUACUUAUUGAUAACUUUGAACAUUAAAAAAUAGGCACAUAAAAUGAAGGAUAGGACAUAGGAAUACAUAAGUAUAUAAAUAGGCAAGUUUUUUGUAAAAUAGUAUAGGUACCUAGUUGCUUUUGAGAACUUGAGUUGUAUAUUGACUUGACGAAUUAAGUUCUCGAGUAAAAGCUAUGAAGAAGUGUCAAGUUUUUUCGGUUUUGUUGGUCGCACUUUUGUGCGUCAAUAUUGUCCAAGUUCAAGCGGGAUUAGGCGCUGUGUUGGGCCCUGUGUUGGUGCUAUUGUUUCCGAUAUUGCUGUUAUUGUUUCCGGUAUUGCUGCCAUUGUUACCGAUUUUAUUGCCGCUGUUGGCAUUGUUGGGGGCAUUGUUGGGGCCAUUGUUGGCUUAACCUCCUUAGAUGCCGUUAUUGAAGUGGGGCUCGGAUCAUCCUUAUUCAAUGAGCAUUUGUCCAAAGUUGGCCAUUUUAAGAAUUGAGAUAAAAACAUGCUUAGCUUAUACCAUAAUGCUAAUUAGUACAUAUAAAUACUUAAUGGACUUAUAUGUAUCAUAAUCAACUAGGUACUUCUGCGUAGCCAAUGAAUAUAUCUACGGCUACCCAGCUUCUUUUAAAAAAAAUAUUGUAGUUAUGUAUUUCAUAAGUAGGUGUAGGUAAAUAUUCUUUUGUAAAUGGUAGAAAAAUUUACGUAUACUUGGUGCAGGAAUAAAUUUUAAUUUACAAAACAAAA